GAUGAACGCUGGCGGCGUGCCUAAUACAUGCAAGUCGAGCGAACGGACGCGAAGCUUGCUUCUCUGAUGUUAGCGGCGCACGGGUGUGUAACGCGUGGAUCACCUCCCUAUAAUUCUGGGAUCACUUCGGGACUCCGGCGCUUAUACCGUAUGAUCUUCUAAACCGCAUGGUUCAAAAGUGAGAUACGGUCUUGCUGUCACUUCUAGAUGGAUCCGCGCUGCAUUAGCUAGUUGGUAAGGUCACGGCUUAGCAAGGCAACGAUGCAUAGCCGACCUGAGAGGGUGAUCGGCCACACGGGAGCUGAGACACCGACCAGACGCCUACGGGACGGAGCAGUAGGGAAUCGGCCGCAAUGGGCGAGAGCCUGGCGGAGCGGCGCCGCGUGAGUGAUGAAGGUGUUCGGAGCGUAAAACUCUGUUAUUAGGGAUGAACAGAUGUGGAAUGAACUGUGCACAGCGUGACGGUACCUAAUAAGAAAGCCCCGGCUAACUACGUG
rnacentral:rRNA from 1 species